rnacentral:misc_RNA from 1 species
GUUAAUAAAAAUCGGUGCGUUGCAAUUUUUUGUGACGUUCUGGAGUUUGAGUUAUCUUAACUUGGUUCUAAGAGGCUUAAAAUUGACCUUUUUUGUGCAUUUUAGACGUACAUAAAUUUUUUUUAUUCGUCCAUCCUAAUGCCAAAAUCUAUUAGAUGCGACCAUAUCUUGUGGUUCCGUGUCUAUAAAUUUUUCAUG